UACGUAGGGUGCAAGCGUUGUCCGGAAUUAUUGGGCGUAAAGGGCGCGUAGGCGGCAAUUCAAGUCAUCUGUGAAAUCUCCGGGCUUAACUCGGAACGGUCAGAUGAUACUGCUUUGCUAGAGUGCGGAAGGGGCAAUCGGAAUUCUCGGUGUAGCGGUGAAAUGCGUAGAUAUCGAGAGGAACACCUGAGGUGAAGACGGGUUGCUGGGCCGACACUGACGCUGACAGCGCGAAAGCCAGGGGAGCAAACGGG
rnacentral:rRNA from 1 species